rnacentral:rRNA from 1 species
UCCGGUGGUAUACGAUGGUUCCGCGUCUGAUUAGCUAGUUGGCGGGGUAACGGCCCACCAAGGCAGCGAUCAGUAGCCGGCCUGAGAGGGUGAACGGCCACAUUGGGACUGAGACACGGCCCAAACUCCUACGGGAGGCAGCAGUGGGGAAUAUUGCACAAUGGGGGAAACCCUGAUGCAGCGACGCCGCGUGAGUGAAGAAGUAUUUCGGUACGUAAAGCUCUAUCAGCAGGGAAGAAAAUGACGGUACCUGACUAAGAAGCCCCGGCUAACUACGUGCCAGCAGCCGCGGUAAUACGUAGGGGGCAAGCGUUAUCCGGAUUUACUGGGUGUAAAGGGAGCGUAGACGGCAGCGCAAGUCUGGAGUGAAAUGCCGGGGCCCAACCCCGGAACUGCUUUGGAAACUGUGCAGCUUGAGUGCAGGAGAGGUAAGCGGAAUUCCUAGUGUAGCGGUGAAAUGCGUAGAUAUUAGGAGGAACACCAGUGGCGAAGGCGGCUUACUGGACUGUAACUGACGUUGAGGCUCGAAAGCGUGGGGAGCAAACAGGAUUAGAUACCCUGGUAGUCCACGCCGUAAACGAUGAUUACUAGGUGUCGGGGGACCAAGGUGCUCCGGUGCCGGCGCAAACGCAUUAAGUAAUCCACCUGGGGAGUACGUUCGCAAGAAUGAAACUCAAAGGAAUUGACGG